rfam:Leptosomus discolor contig23885, whole genome shotgun sequence.
ACAGCUUUGGACAAAAGUCUAUAGCCAGUGCAUUCGUAACUCCCCAUGCACAAGAGCUGACUGUGGCUCUGGGAAGACAUUUUACUCAUUUGAUUUCUUUUUUCUUGUAGUCGUCUUGUCCAGUUCUCAGGUGUUUACCACCUAUUAGAAUUUCACCUGUAUGGUCCUGUGUUUGAGACAGUCCCAGGACUUGUCAGCUGUAUAGGCCUCAUAAAAGACAGCUCU